rnacentral:rRNA from 1 species
CAUGCGUCGCAUUAGCUAGUUGGCGGGGUAACGGCCCACCAAGGCGACGAUGCGUAGGGGUUCUGAGAGGAAGGUCCCCCACACUGGUACUGAGACACGGACCAGACUCCUACGGGAGGCAGCAGUGAGGAAUAUUGGUCAAUGGCCGCAGGGCUGAACCAGCCAAGUCGCGUGAGGGAUGACGGUCCUAUGGAUUGUAAACCUCUUUUGUCAGGGAGCAAAGGGCGCCACGUGUGGCGCUUUGCGAGUACCUGAAGAAAAAGCAUCGGCUAACUCCGUGCCAGCAGCCGCGGUAAUACGGAGGAUGCGAGCGUUAUCCGGAUUUAUUGGGUUUAAAGGGUGCGCAGGCGGAAUGUCAAGUCAGCGGUAAAAUUUCGGGGCUCAACCCCGUCGUGCCGUUGAAACUGGCGUUCUUGAGUGAGCGAGAAGUAUGCGGAAUGCGUGGUGUAGCGGUGAAAUGCAUAGAUAUCACGCAGAACUCCGAUUGCGAAGGCAGCAUACCGGCGCUCAACUGACGCUCAUGCACGAAAGCGUGGGUAUCGAACAGGAUUAGAUACCCUGGUAGUCCACGCAGUAAACGAUGAAUACUAACUGUCCGGGCAGAAUGAUGCCUGG